AGUAAGGUCAGCUAACUAAGCUCCUGGGCCCAUGCCCCCGGCAUGAAGGUUAAAACCCUUCCCUUACUA
rnacentral:tRNA from 1 species